CUAUGCGCCUUGCCAGCCCGCUCAGGUGUGCCAGCAGCCGCGGUAAUACUAGGGGGCAAGCGUUAUCCGGAUCUACUGGGUGUAAAGGGAGCGUAGACGGCAGUGCAAGUCUGGAGUGAAAGGCGGGGGCUCAACCCCCGGACUGCUCUGGAAACUGUACAGCUGGAGUGCAGGAGAGGUAAGUGGAAUUCCUAGUGUAGCGGUGAAAUGCGUAGAUAUCAGGAGGAACACCGGUGGCGAAGGCGGCCUGCUGGACUGCAACUGACGUUGAGCCCGAAAGCGUGGGGAUCGAACAGG
rnacentral:rRNA from 1 species